AUGAAUUUCCAAAACCGUCGCAAAGCGGCUUCCUUUAAGCUUUUUGGUCAAGGUCUUCCUGGAUGCUCCUUCUUCGCGCUUGAUGGUGAUAUUCCUCAAGUCGCAGUGGCCCCUGCGCUAUCUAAUGCCGUGAUCAUCUUGAUCAAAGACCACAAGAUUACCACCCAAACCCUCUUGGAUGAGCUCAAAUUGUGGGAUGAUGGGGGCUGGGACUGGCACAUCCGUAAGCUGUCUGAUUUUUACUUUGCGGUGGUUUUCCCCUCUAAGAGCAGCCUCAAGAUGAUUUCCUCUUGUACCAGUUUCACUCUCCCUCUCAACCAAUUGGUGGUCUCGGUGAAGGCGGCCACUAACGGUGUUAAACCUAUCCCUCCCCUCUCAGAGAUUUGGGUCCUUGUAGAUGACAUCCCUCCCACCUUGCGAUCCUCAGAAUUCAUCAUGGCCUUUGGUGUUCUAAUUGGCAAGACGAUCUUGGUCGAUCAAGACUCCCUCUUUGUCCUCGGUCCUGUGCGCCUCAAGAUUUGGGUUGUGGACCCCGUAUGCAUUCAUGGUUAUGUUGAUGUGUUCCCUGCUACGGAUGGGUUCAGGCUUCGGGUGCGUGUGGAGGGUGUUGCCACUGCCCAAUCCCCACCCCCGCCUCCUCCUCCUUCUGUUGUUAACCCUCGCGGAGGGGGCGACAACGCUGGCAACUUGAGUGAGGGCUCGCUCCCGCGUUUCACUACCUCGGAAUGGGAUGGUAUGGGCACUGAAAGCCGUGAGCUUUUCAAGGAUAGUGCUCCGAAGGCCAAGGAAGGUGGAAAGGAGAAGUUGGAGAAGAAUGUUUCGGCUAAGGUUGCCCCGUGUCCCAAUUGUCGGCACUCCUGUGUUGGGGGUCUGUUCCAACCUGUCGGCCCGGCCGGGCUCGCCGUCGCUUUCGGGCAUUGA
rnacentral:rRNA from 1 species